rnacentral:ncRNA from 1 species
AUAAGUUCUGUGAAAAGAAGAGUACUAUAAUUAAUUCUUAAAGCGAGUAAGGGAUGGUGUAAGCCUUAUAAGAUAGAUUAAUAGGAAGAGAGUCUUGGAGAAAUCACCUGAAGUUAAGUAGGGAUGAUCGUAGUAACUUGCGUUAAAAGUUAAGUGGUAUCUUUAUGAUUUAAGUUAAAUUAUAAAGAUACAAUUAGAGUGGUACCGCGGAUAAUUCGUCUCUUAU